GUGCCUACGGGGGGCAGCAGUGGGGAAUAUUGCACAAUGGGGGGAACCCUGAUGCAGCGACGCCGCGUGAGUGAAGAAGUAUUUCGGUAUGUAAAGCUCUAUCAGCAGGGAAGAAGAUGACGGUACCUGACUAAGAAGCCCCGGCUAACUACGUGCCAGCAGCCGCGGCAAUACGUAGGGGGCAAGCGUUAUCCGGAUUUACUGGGUGUAAAGGGAGCGUAGACGGCAGGGCAAGUCUGGAGUGAAAGCCCGGGGCCCAACCC
rnacentral:rRNA from 1 species